GCACCCACGCGGCGCAGCUCCCAAAGUUGCAGACAGCCCGGCGAACCGCGCAAUGCGCUUCUUCUGCCUGCAGCAGAGAAAAGGAAAGAAAACUCCGCAGGGGCUCCGUUGGCUUCUCCACGAGUGACAACCAUGUUUUCCCAGAUAGAAGACCGGAGCCCUGCUCCUUUGCGAUCCGCCGAGGGCUGCAGAGAGCAUCCUCAUCCAUUUGGGCACCCCUGCCCAGGAAGAGCCCGGCCAUCCCUUUCCGGACUGGAUCCUUAAGAGGUGAAUUUUCUUCCGUGGAUUCCGAUUUGCUCCGUCUGACCAGCCUAGGCAAUCCAGCAUCGCGUGGUACCAGUGCCGCUGGGCACACUGGCUUCACGCCGGCUCCGCCUCACCAGCAAGCGCAUUCCCAGAUAAAACACUAACUCAGAGAAGAAAUUUAACUGCAAAUUUGGUUAAUGACCAUGGAUUCCUAAUGAGAAGAAAAGCUAGACACUGAGAGUUUAGAAUAAACUCAAGAAUCUUAAAAAUUUUCCCAUGGAACUGCCUUUGCACCUCUAUAAAAAAUUAAUUGACCAUAUGGUAAGUAACAUGUGAGUUUACAUUGAGGAUAGAUGAGCCUUUGGACAAAAUUAGAGUGAUUUAAUUUUACAAUAAAAACAACUCUAUGUCUUUUUCUUGGUUCUGUCAUCAUGUAAAAAAUAAUGCUUGCAAAAUUUUUUAUUAACACAACACUUGGGCUUAAUUUCCAAUAAUUUCUAUUUUUAAAAUGUCUUCCAUUAGUGUCUUGGAUCUUGGAAGAUAUAAUUCUGUCUGGAAAAUUUUUAAGACAAGAUAAAAAAUAUAUAUAUAUACACACACACAUACAUACAUAUAUAUGUGUAUAUAUAAAUAAUUUAAAUGAAAUUGUCUUGACACAUGUUUUUCAAAGAGUAUAAUCUUGUGAACUUUUCUAAUACUACAAAUCACAGGAUUUAAUCUUCUGACUUAAAUUGUACUUUCCAGAUAUUUAGUCACUCUAAGAUGUUAAACUAAUGUUAAAUUGUUUUAUUUAAUGAAUAAUCUUUGGAUAUAUAAUUUUUCUAUAAGAAAAAACAGAAAACUUUGAUUAUUAGAUAUAAUUUUAAAUUUCUUUUACCUUUAUACAUAAAAUCACUACAGAUUAAGGAGAUGUACAAAUGUCCUUAAAUUAUAUUAAAUGCACUUACUUUGCCAUCUUAAAAUUUAUUUAAGUAAAAUAACAUAUAUGCUCAUAAAAAUAGUUUUAUUGAUCUUGGUUACCUAUCUUCUAGUUUUCUCUUGUGUCUGGAAAAAUAAAAGUUGGUUAAUUUUGUUAAAGGUGGUAAUUAAUAAAAUCGACUAUGCAGACAUUUAUACAUUUACUUAUACAUAAAAAUAUAUUUAUGUACUUUAAUCUCUAUAUUACUCUUCUAAUUCAAUUUUUAAAGUAAAGUUCCAUUUUUCUGUAUGGUUCUAUGAGUGUAACACAUGCACAGAUUCUUGUAAGCUUCAUCACAAAUAGGUUAUAGAACAAUUCCACACCUUCCCCAAAAUGUCUCUUUUCCUGCUCAGUAGAUAGUCAAACUCUCCCCUCAGGCCUAAGCCUUGCAACCACUGAUCUUCUUUCCCUCUAUUUUUGCCGUUUUUAGAAUGUCAUACAUAUUUAGCCUUUUAAGAUUUACUUCUUUAACUUAGUAAAUGCAUUUGAGAUUCAAUCAUGUUGUUGCAUGUACCAAUAAUUUAUUUCUUUUUAUUGCUGAGAAGUAUUUCAUGGGUUGUUUAUCCAUUUACCCACUGAAGAACUUUUAGUCUGUUUCCAUUUUUGGGCAAUAUGAAUAAUGUGGUUCUGUUAUAAACAUUCAUGUCCAGGUUUUUGUGUGAAUAUAAGUUUUUAUUUCUCUACAGUUAAUACCUAGGAAUCAGAUUCCUGGGUUAUAUGAUAAGUGUAUGUUUAACUGCCAAACAUUUCUAAAGUAGCUAUUUCAUUUUGCAUUUCCACCAGCAAUUUAUAGGAGUUUCAAUUGCUCCACAUAUUUGCCAGCAUUGAUAUUGUCAUUAAGAAAAGUCAUUCUAAUAGGUGGGUGGUGGUAUCUCAUUUUGGUUUUCAUUUGGAGUUCCCUAAUGACUAAUGAUGUUGAGCAUAUUUGAUGCACUUAUUUGACAAUCAUAUUUUUUCUUUGAUAAAGUGUCUCUUUAAAUCUUUUGACUUUUUUUUCAAUUGGGUUGUUUUAUUAUUGUUGAGUUUUGAGAAUUCUUUGAAUAUUCUGAACUCAAGUUCUUUGUUGGAUAUAUGAUUUUCAAAUUAUUUCCUCCCUAUCUGUGGCUUUUCACUCUCUUAAAAAAGAACACAGGGCAAAUGUUUUAAAUUUUUAUGAGGUUCAAUAUAUUGAUUUUUCUUUUAUGACUCUUGCUUUUGGUGUAAUAUCUAAGAACUCUUUGCCUAACCUGAGGUCACAAUGAUUUUCUCCUGUUUUCUUUUAAAAUUUUUAUAUAUUUACCUUUUAUUUUUAUGAGUUAAAUUUUAGUACAUGAUGUCAGGUAAGAGUGGAUGAUCAUUUUAUUGGCAUAUGAAUGUCCAAUUGUUCUAGUACCAUUUGUCAAGGCUAUACUUUUCCCAUUGAAUUGCCUUUGCACCUCUAUAAAAAAUUAAUUGACCAUAUGGUAAGUAAAAUGUGAGUUUAUGUCUAGAAUCCAGAUACUGAUCCACUGGUACUGUUCUAUUGAUCCUUUUGCCAAUACCACAAGAUCUUGACAACUCUGACCUUAUAGUGAAUCUUAAAACUGGGUAGUGUGAGUUUUCCAACUUUGUUUUCAUACAAAAUAAUUUUGGCCAUUCUAGUUUCUUUGCACUUUCAUGUAAAUUUUAGAAAGAGUUUAUCUAUAUCCACCAAAAAAUCUUCCUGGGAUUUUAAAUGGGAGUACAUUAAAUCUAUAGGUAAAGUUGGAGAGAAUUGGCAUUUUGCCAAUGUUGAGUUUUUCAACUAUAAAUACACUGUAUUUCUACAUUUAUUGGGAUUUUCGUUGAUAUUGUUCAUCAGUGUUUAGAGACUUCUAGCAGAUAGAUCCUAAAAAUAUUUUGUUAGAUUAUACCUAGGUAAAUUUUCAGUCUUUUGAAAAAUGAUCCUGAUUUUAAAACUUUGAUUUCUAGUUGUUCCUUGCUAGUGAAUUAGUUCUUGGAUUUUUAAAAUUAAUUCUUUAGGAUUUUCUGUGUAAACAAUCAUGCUCUCUGUUAAUAUGUAUUAUUUUAUUUCUUCUUUUCUGAUUUUAUGCCUUUUUUUCCCUUAGCUUAUUUCACCAACUAGAACUUCCAAUAAAACAUUGAAUAGAAGUGAUGAGAGUGGAUAUAUUUGCCUUGUUCCUGAUUUUAGAUGAUAAACAUUUUGUCUUUCACUUUAGAUAUGAUGUUAGUUCUAGGGGCUUUUUGAAGAUGAGCAUUAUUAUGUUGCAAAGGUUCCAUCCUCCUUCUAGUUUGUGAGGAAAUUUUUAUCUUAAAUGGACAUUGAAUUUUAUCAAAUGCCUUCCCUGCGUCUAUUGAUAUGACCACAUGGUUUUUCUUAAGUCUAUUAGUAUGGUGAAUUACACUGAAGAUUUUUGAAUGGUGAACCAGACUUGCAUUCCCCC
ensembl:lncRNA DUBR DPPA2 upstream binding RNA